GUGUGAUGCAGGCCUUGAGCUGGGGA
rnacentral:piRNA from 1 species